GUGGAUUAGAUACCCUGGUAGUCCACGCCCUAAACGAUGUCGACUGGUUGUUGGGGGUUUGACACUCUCAGUAACGAAGCUAACGCGUGAAGUCGACCGCCUGGGGAGUACGGCCGCAAGGUUAAAACUCAAAGGAAUUGACGGGGACCCGCACAAGCGGUGGAUUAUGUGGAUUAAUUCGAUGCAACGCGAAAAACCUUACCUACCCUUGACAUGUCCUGAAGCCUGGAGAGAUCCGGGUGUGCCCGAAAGGGAACGGGAACACAGGUGCUGCAUGGUCGUCGACAACU
rnacentral:rRNA from 1 species